rnacentral:misc_RNA from 1 species
AAGUCGUAACAAGGUUUCCGUAGGUGAACCUGCGGAAGGAUCAUUAAGGGGUAGUUUUUGAGGGGUCUCUGUCCCCGGUCCUCCCAUCCGUGAUUACAUUAGGCCCUGAUCUACCUUGGCGGGCCCGCCGGGAACGGCCCGCGCGGCCCAGAUGGCGUCCCGGCUGGGAAGACGCAACAAAGCCCUAUUUUCAACGUGUCGUCUGAGCAAAUUGACAAACAAGUCAAAAC